rnacentral:rRNA from 1 species
AUGAGAAUCUAUGUUGUCGACAUGGGAAUCGAUGCCGUUACAGCAUGGUCUAGCACGAGCGCCGCCGCGGUCGGCUGCCUCCACCAUGAAUGUCGGCCGCCGCCGAUCUCCUCGCCGGAUCUAGCCGCCCAAGCUCUUGUGGGCUGCAGUAACGCCCGCGAAGUCAAUCGCCAUGGUGUGCAAGCUCCUAUGGCGGAGUGUUCGAAGGCGACGAGGCUUUGGAGGCGGUUUUGUUUUUGCAGCAAAGGGCAUAUUGAAGAGCACUGUUUCAUAAAAAACUCAAAUUAUUUUUCUGCAACAAGGUCUUUGUUGCGAUAA